CAAUAGCGUAUAUUUAAGUUGUUGCAGUUAAAAAGCUCGUAGUCGGAUUUUGGCUGAGAACGAACGGUCCGCCGUUAGGUGUGCACUGUUUGGUCUCAGCUUCCUGGUGAGGAGGUGUGCUUCACGGCCACUUAGUCACCGUGGUUACUUUGAAAAAAUUAGAGUGUUCAAAGCGGGCUUACGCUUGAAUAUAUUAGCAUGGAAUAACACCAUAGGACUCCUGUCCUAUUUCGUUGGUCUCGGGACGGGAGUAAUGAUUAAGAGGAACAGUUGGGGGCAUUCGUAUUUCAUUGUCAGAGGUGAAAUUCUUGGAUUUAUGAAAGACGAACUUCUGCGAAGGCAUUUGCCAAGGAUGUUUUCAUUGA
rnacentral:rRNA from 1 species